rnacentral:rRNA from 1 species
GUUAUAUGGUCAAGUGAAGAAGCGCAUACGGUGGAUGCCUUGGCAGUCAGAGGCGAUGAAAGACGUGGUAGCCUGCGAAAAGCUUCGGGGAGUCGGCAAACAGACUUUGAUCCGGAGAUCUCUGAAUGGGGGAACCCACCUAGGAUAACCUAGGUAUCUUGUACUGAAUCCAUAGGUGCAAGAGGCGAACCAGGGGAACUGAAACAUCUAAGUACCCUGAGGAAAAGAAAUCAACCGAGAUUCCCUUAGUAGUGGCGAGCGAACGGGGAUUAGCCCUUAAGCUUCAUUGAUUUUAGCGGAACGCUCUGGAAAGUGCGGCCAUAGUGGGUGAUAGCCCCGUACGCGAAAGGAUCUUUGAAGUGAAAUCGAGUAGGACGGAGCACGAGAAACUUUGUCUGAACAUGGGGGGACCAUCCUCCAAGGCUAAAUACUACUGACUGACCGAUAGUGAACCAGUACCGUGAGGGAAAGGCGAAAAGAACCCCGGAGAGGGGAGUGAAAUAGAACCUGAAACCGUAUGCGUACAAGCAGUGGGAGCCUACUUGUUAGGUGACUGCGUACCUUUUGUAUAAUGGGUCAGCGACUUAUAUUCAGUGGCAAGCUUAACCGUAUAGGGUAGGCGUAGCGAAAGCGAGUCUUAAUAGGGCGUUUAGUCGCUGGGUAUAGACCCGAAACCGGGCGAUCUAUCCAUGAGCAGGUUGAAGGUUAGGUAACACUGACUGGAGGACCGAACCCACUCCCGUUGAAAAGGUAGGGGAUGACUUGUGGAUCGGAGUGAAAGGCUAAUCAAGCUCGGAGAUAGCUGGUUCUCCUCGAAAGCUAUUUAGGUAGCGCCUCAUGUAUCACUCUGGGGGGUAGAGCACUGUUUCGGCUAGGGGGUCAUCCCGACUUACCAAACCGAUGCAAACUCCGAAUACCCAGAAGUGCCGAGCAUGGGAGACACACGGCGGGUGCUAACGUCCGUCGUGAAAAGGGAAACAACCCAGACCGCCAGCUAAGGUCCCAAAGUUGUGGUUAAGUGGUAAACGAUGUGGGAAGGCUUAGACAGCUAGGAGGUUGGCUUAGAAGCAGCCAUCCUUUAAAGAAAGCGUAAUAGCUCACUAGUCGAGUCGGCCUGCGCGGAAGAUGUAACGGGGCUCAAACCACACACCGAAGCUGCGGGUGUCACGUAAGUGACGCGGUAGAGGAGCGUUCUGUAAGCCUGUGAAGGUGAGUUGAGAAGCUUGCUGGAGGUAUCAGAAGUGCGAAUGCUGACAUGAGUAACGACAAUGGGUGUGAAAAACACCCACGCCGAAAGACCAAGGGUUCCUGCGCAACGUUAAUCGACGCAGGGUUAGUCGGUUCCUAAGGCGAGGCUGAAAAGCGUAGUCGAUGGGAAACAGGUUAAUAUUCCUGUACUUCUGGUUACUGCGAUGGAGGGACGGAGAAGGCUAGGCCAGCUUGGCGUUGGUUGUCCAAGUUUAAGGUGGUAGGCUGAAAUCUUAGGUAAAUCCGGGGUUUCAAGGCCGAGAGCUGAUGACGAGUCGUCUUUUAGAUGACGAAGUGGUUGAUGCCAUGCUUCCAAGAAAAGCUUCUAAGCUUCAGGUAAC